UGAUGACGAAAAAGGAGAGCUGCUGGC
rnacentral:sRNA from 1 species